UACGAAGGGGGCUAGCGUUGCUCGGAAUCACUGGGCGUAAAGGGUGCGUAGGCGGGUCUUUAAGUCAGGGGUGAAAUCCUGGAGCUCAACUCCGGAACUGCCUUUGAUACAGCACGUCUUGAGUCCGGAAGAGGUGGGUGGAAUUCCUAGUGUAGAGGUGAAAUUCGUAGAUAUUAGGAAGAACACCGGUGGCGAAGGCGGCCCACUGGUCCGGUACUGACGCUGAGGUGCGAAAGCGUGGGGAGCAAACAGG
rnacentral:rRNA from 1 species